UAGAACUAGAUGCCAGGGCAGAAUCGCUUGUUGACAUGACAGGUUGUGCAUGAUGUGCUUGUGCCAUAUGAGCACUGCCUUCCUUGGCACAAAGGCCCACCCACUCUGUGAAGCAUUUGAGUGCUGCCAGGGCAAGCCAAUCAGAGGCAGCGUUGGCUUAGCAUGUCAUAACAUGUUUCAUGCCUUUUUUCAACGAAAAAUUAAAUACAUUUUAUCAGCACAUAUUGUUCAACAUAUAUGCUGAUUCCAGUGUAUCUGUCAUUGGCACCUGCCAAUCAAUAUAUUAUGUGGGCCUCAGUUUUAACAUUUAGAUUUGUCAAAUAAAAUGAGGAAAAAGGUUAGCUUAAUAGCAAAAAUUCUUAAAAAAAACACGCCUCUGCAGCAAUAUACUAUAAGCUUGAAACAUGUUUUAUCAUCAACCUGGUAGGAGCAUCUUAAAAUAAAAAGUAAAUGUUUUUUACAACCAUAUGUAAAACCACCCACUGGUUGGUGGACUACCACUUUUAAAUACUCAAUCUAGCAUUACUGACAUUGCUUUCUUGUUUUUUUGGAGCCAGUAGUGACCAUAUUUGAGGGUGGAGCUCUGUCCUGAUUGAUCUGACGGAGAACAUGAGGACAUCCUGUGCUAGUAGUAGCCGUGCCCUGAAGCGUAACCUGCUUUAUAGGUCAUUUUUAUCUAAAAGGGAGCAUAAUUUACAAUAUGAAUGUCACCUUUUUCGCAUAAACUUACAUAUAAUCAGAGGUCUUUUUGAAACCAGUGGAGUUGCCACAUGUUUGCUAUUAAAAAGGCUUCCAGGCACUGCUGCAUUAGCCUUUGGUGUCUGAUCCAAAAGUUCUGCCCAUGUUUUAUACAGUCAAAUGUUAUAGCAACAAAAUGUAGAAACAUGCCACCAAAACCUAUUUUGCCACACUUAUUGUUAAUUCUUGGUCUUACAAGAUUCAGUUGCCUCAUGUAGGUAGAUUCUGCAGGGAAUACGCCAUUAAGUGUAUGACACUGAGGUAAAAAGACAAAGAUUUAACGCCCUUGUUAACUUUUAUGCCCAAGAGUCUGAGUCCCUUCCAAUCAAUUAAAUAAUUAACCAUCAGAUAAGGCAGGGUUAAUCGUCAGCCCCCAAACACAGCUUCCUCCACACUGCCUGCCUCAAGUAAGCUUCCAUUAUUCAUCACUGAAACGCAAAAUUUGAAAAUUGCUAAUGCUCAAGCUCCCUUCUCUUCCCACAAGUCCUUACUAAUUUAUGUAUUCAUACAUUUAUUUAUGGUUUAUUUCAGAACAUCAUAAUCAAUUCCAGGGGGAGCACUGGGCUCUUGGUUGACUAAACCCAAAUACACUGCACCAUCACCAGUUAUACCCAUUUUUUCAUCUAUGUUGCCCCUUUACUCGUUAUAGUAUUUGCAAUUAUGCAACAAAUCAAACAGCAGCCCACUUGUCAAAUUGAGCUGAACUCAUAUUGUAGCUCUGGGUGGCAGAUGGACUGCAGCGGGAGCACAAGAAAAAGGGUUAAAAAAGGUGAGAGAGGAUCAAUGUGCUCAGAGAUGUUUGUGAAGAUGAGUGGAAAGAGAGAGCACUCAGGAGAAGGUGACAGCUUCUCUAUAGAGCUGCCAGUCAUGCUACACAGCACCCGCUUGCACUGCCGAAGACACCUCUCGCCAGCUGAGGACUUAUUGAUCCAAACUCUCACACUCCUCCACUUCUUACACUUCACUUUUCUUUGGCAAUCUCUCCCUUUCCCUCCUUCUCCUAUUGGCCUGUCAGUCUCCUAUUAGCUUUUUUUUCUUCUCAGAUGUCAUCUUUCACUAGGCCACACAGAAAAGUUUUUAAGACCUGUGUUGGAUUUUAAACCAUUUUAAAACCUUCUUUUUUAUCGUUUACACAGUUCUGCUGGAUUUUUCAUUUUCAAUUUGUGCAUCGGAUACCCUGAGUGGACAUGUUGGAAAUUUGAGAAAAGGCUGUAGCAUUGCAGGAAGAUUUUUGAGUUAAGCUGAGGUGGGAAAGUUGAUAUAUUGAUCAAAAGACAAUGGGAAGAGACUUACAAAGAGUACAAAACCUGUGAAAUGCAUGAAACAUCUGACUUAAACAACAACUGAGAUAAAAUGACUGGAUAAAAAAAAACAAGGUCUUUGUGGAGGUAUUAGGGCUGGGCAAUUAAACGAUAAUGAUAUCUAUCGCGAUAGACACGUGAUCAAUAUCAAUAGAAAAUACGUUCGAUAGAACGUCAAUAAUUCCACUGAACUCUGUUAGAAAGAAAAGAAAACAGGCAGAAAACCCUGAUCCAGAACCGCAAGGCAUUCUUAGGGAUGUAGGCAGAAGAAGGGCUUUAGCCUCUAAACCUCUCCCGGCCCAGCUAAGCAAGAAUGGUGGCAUGAACAUAGUCACUUGCUCUUUGGUAACCUAGCAACAACCUGUUGUUGUGACAUGCACAGUAGCACUUUCCUGUUUUGCCAUCGUGCCACAUAACUGCUUUAACAAAAAAAAUGGCGUGGAGUGAAAGGAGAAAACAAGUGCAACAGUGCGAGAGGACAUUGUGGAUAAAAGAGGAAAGGUCACAUCAGCAGUUCGGCAGUAUUUCAGAUAUUUUAAGUCUGACAAGAGUCAGACCGAUGUUGUCUGCAAACUACGCAAGGUCGUCAUCCCUACCAAGUCUGGCAAUACGACAAAUGUAUUUUAACACCUCAGUCGCUCUCAUCCGUUGGAGUACAGCAGCGUCAAACAGCCACAGCCAUCGACAUCUGCCGGUGCAGCCACACCUUCGCAACUCCUUUACAGCUAGCCAAUUGAUGCUGGGUGGGCGCCUGGAAGUAGCUGCUGCUUCGAGGCAAAAUUCGAGUCAGGAAAGUGUUUCAACACCUCGCUGCAGGUGCCAGCUUGGUUUCCUGCCGUUGAUCGAGCAGUUGGCUUGUAACCUCACCACAGUUCACUUGGCAGAGGAUCAAGACCUUGACUUUCAGCUGUUUCGCUGCUAGUGUUUAAGAAGUAUACAAAGUAUAAGAAUAAACUUCU